AUUGAACGCUGGCGGCAGGCCUAACACAUGCAAGUCGAACGAGUGGCGGACGGGUGAGUAAUAUCUGGGAAACUGCCCGAUGGAGGGGGAUAACUACUGGACACGGUAGCUAAUACCGCAUCCAUCUGAUCUGCCAAGAUGGGAUUAGCUUGUAGGUGAGGUAACGGCUCACAUAGGCGACGAUCCCUAUCUGGUCUGUGAGGAUGACCAGCAACACUGGAACUGAAACACGGUCCAGACACCACCGGUGGGCAGCAGUGGGGAAUAUUGCACAAGGGGCGCAAGCCUGAUGCAGACGUGCCGCGUGUAUGAAGAAGGCCUUAGGGUUGUAAAGUACUUGCAGCGGGUAGGCGUUACCCGCAGAAGAAGCAACGGCUAACUCAGUGCCAGCGGCCGCGGUAAUAC
rnacentral:rRNA from 1 species